GAUGAAGAACGCAGCGAAAUGCGAUAAGUAAUGUGAAUUGCAGAAUUCAGUGAAUCAUCGAAUCUUUGAACGCACCUUGCGCUCCUUGGUAUUCCGAGGAGCAUGCCUGUUUGAGUGUCAUUAUAAAUUCUCAACCCAUCCAACUUGUAAUAUAGUCGGUAUGUGGCUUGGAUAUGGGGUUUUGCAGGCCUUUGUUGGUCAGCUACUCUAAAAUGUAUUAGCGGAACGGUUUGCGAUCUGUCACUGGUGUGAUAAUUAUCUACGCCUAAGACUAUAGAAAGCUCUCUGUCUGUUCAGCUUCUAACAGUCCCUUGUGGACAACUUUAUUGAAAGUUUGACCUCAAAUCAGGUAGGAUUACCCGCUGAACUUAAGCAUAUCAAUAAGCGGAGGA
rnacentral:misc_RNA from 1 species